UUCCUACGGGUGGCUGCAGUGGGGAAUAUUGGACAAUGGGCGCAAGCCUGAUCCAGCCAUGCCGCGUGAGUGAUGACGGCCUUAGGGUUGUAAAGCUCUUUCGCCAGGGACGAUAAUGACGGUACCUGGAUAAGAAGCCCCGGCUAACUUCGUGCCAGCAGCCGCGGUAAUACGAAGGGGGCUAGCGUUGUUCGGAAUCACUGGGCGUAAAGCGCACGUAGGCGGAUCUUUAAGUCAGAGGUGAAAUCCCAAGGCUCAACCGUGGAACUGCCUUUGAUACUGGGGAUCUCGAGUUCGGGAGAGGUGAGUGGAACUGCGAGUGUAGAGGUGAAAUUCGUAGAUAUUCGCAAGAACACCAGUGGCGAAGGCGGCUCACUGGCCCGAUACUGACGCUGAGGUGCGAAAGCGUGGGGAGCAAACAGGAUUAGAUACCCCUGUAGUC
rnacentral:rRNA from 1 species